rnacentral:rRNA from 1 species
UACGUAGGCAGCGAGCGUUUGUUCGGAGUUACUGGGCGUAAAGGGUGUGUAGGCGGUUCUUUUAAGUUUGGUGUGAAAUCUCCCGGCUCAACCGGGAGGGUGCGCCGAAUACUGAGGGACUUGGAGUGCGGGAGAGGAAAGUGGAAUUCCUGGUGUAGCGGUGAAAUGCGUAGAUAUCAGGAGGAACGCCGGUGGUGUAGACGGCUUUCUGGACCGUAACUGACGCUGAGACACGAAAGCGUUGGGUAGCAAACAGG